ACACCGGCAGCUCUAGUGGUAGCUGUUUUUAUUGGGCCUAAAGCGUUCGUAGCCGGUUUGGUAAGUCACUGGUGAAAUCCUGUAGCUUAACUAUGGGAAUUGCUGGUGAUACUGUUGAACUUGAGGUCGGGAGAGGUUAGCGGUACUCCCAGGGUAGAGGUGAAAUUCUGUAAUCCUGGGAGGACCACCUGUGGCGAAGGCGGCGAAUUGGAACGCUCCUGCGGGAGAUGGACGAACGCGAGGGGCGCGCAAGGGAUUAGAUUUCCGGUGCAUGCUAGCCGUUAACGACACGGAUUUGGUGGUGGAAUGGCUUUGCGGCCCUCGGGUGCCGAAGGGAAGCUGUUAAGUGCGCCGCCUGGGAAGUACGGUCGCAAGGCUGAAACUCAAAUGAAUUGACGGGG
rnacentral:rRNA from 1 species